UCUCUCAACUGACCCAGUGAUCAUGUUGGACUUGGAACUGCAACUCUGCAACUACUACCUCUCCCUAAUUCUACAUUUCCCAACCCCAACACAAUCACUGCGUCUAUUCCUCUUAUUUCUUCCCCACGUCUUCGUAGAUUCCAACCCUUCCCUCCCCUCUCGUUCUCUUGUACCGGCUCGCUACUUGGUUUUCAAUUCGCUGGUAAAUGAUUCUCCCGUUUUUGUAUAACUAAUGGACUGCUGACAAACUUUUAUCAGUGAGCCAGCUUCGGCAAAUAUCAACGAUGCGGACCAAUGCGUUCAAACUUGGAGGCCUUCAUCAGAUAUCAUGGUUCCAGUUUCUUCCCCAUGAAACCGAAUUGAACCCUCUACCAGAUAAAAGUGUGGAAGUAGAGCAGAAAUAUAUUGCUACAAUGUUGGUGCGUUCAUCUCAUCUGCAGUUGCAAAAGGAAGGAUUUCUCAGCACAUGGGUCAAUUCCCUUGUUGGGCCCUGGGAUCCAUAUCACUAUAUUAGAUUCUGCACAAUCCUGAUGAGAAAAUUAAGCUUUGAUUUUUUCUUCCUGGGCGUCAUUCAUCAGUUGUUGAGACUGCUCAAAGUGCAGUCUUCAGAUUAGAAGUUACUACAUCUGGAAUCUGGUUGGCUCUUGGGGACUCAGAAGAGGUUGCAGCUGCACUUUCCCAGGCUUCAAGGAAUUGUAUAGAAAGGUCACUGAUCAUCAACUUUUCAAAACUUCAAGGGGAAAAGUUUGUCAUGGAAGUGUAUACCAAGAUCACUAAUCAUCAAUUUUUUGAAACUUCAAGCGGAAAAUUCUGUCAUGUUCAUAACAUGAUAUUUAUUUUAUUGGAACUGGCAGGAAACUUAUUGGACUUUCCUACAUGAGAUUUGGAGAUGUGUUUUCAAAGUAUCGUCCAUCUCAAAGCGACAGAAUUUUCAGGUUUGUUCACAAUCAUAUGUUGAUAAAUAAUUGUAUUAAUGGUGGUGAUUGUAGAUAUUCAUUUAUCAAUUGAAUGUUAAUGUAUACAAUUUAGGAAUGUAUCUCUCUGUUAAUAUUAGUUGUACAAAAUAUAUUUACCAUGUAUAGAUUUUGAAUAUUAGGAAUAAUUUAGACUUUCCCGUUUAUAGCAUAUUAUCUACUUUCCUUGUAUGGAUUGGUGAUUACGUUGAUAAUGAGAAGUGGCUGAAUGGUGAUAGCCAGUUUUUCCAAAAAGCUCUCUUUGUAUUUCUGGUUUCCCUAGUAUUUUGACAUGGUAUCAAGAGCCAGGUUCGUGACUCUUGCCUGUUUUGAUUUUUUUUUUUUGUCUUUGGGGAUUUAGGCACCAUCUGUUGCUGGUUUCUGGUGAGUUUGUGGAUUUCGGUGCUCCUUGUUACGUGUUUCUGGUUCCCAGGAAGCUGUCAGCGAUCUCUGUUGCAGUUCCUGGUUGGGUUAUGCAAUUUGGUCGUGUCUGUGCCAUUUUCUUGCUUCUGGUCUGCAUUUUGGCGUCAUCUGUGUGAGUUCCUUGGGUCUCUUCUGGAUUUCGGCGCAAUUUCUCUUGGUUUCUGGUUUGAUUUCCUCUUUUGGCACUCUCUGAUUUGGUUGGGACUCUUUGUUUUGUCUUCUCUGGUCAGUUCCGUGUGCAGCCUCCUUGGUUUGCUGGUCUGAGUUCUUUUGGUAAUCCCUUUUCGACACCUGUUUGUUUUGGCACCUUUUUUUUUUUUUCUCCCUCUUGUGCUUGUUGCAGUCAUCUUCUAGUGGGCUAUUUUAUUCUUGAUUCCAUCAUGUCAUCAGAUAAAUUAGACUCGUUCCAUAUUCGUAUUACUGGCAAAAAUUAUUCCGUUAUGAGAGUUUCAAUUUGAAUUAUUUCUCAAAGGGAAAGAGUUGUGGGUCAUAUUGACGGAAGUGAUCCCGCACCUAGAGAUGUAGAGGCUUUGUCUAAGUGAGAAAUCAAGAAUGUUAUGACCUGGAUUCUUAGCUCGGUUGAGCCUCUCCUUGUUCUCAAUCUGAGGCCUUAUAAAACUACCGCUGAUAUGUGGAAAUACCUUAACAAGGUUUACAAUCAAGAUAACACAGCUUGGCGUUUUCAAUUGGAGUAUGAGAUGGCUAAUUUCACACAGGGAAGUCUCUCCAUUGAGGAAUAUUUUUCUGGUUUUCAAAAUCUGUAGGCUGACUAUUCAGACAUUGUUUAUGCUAAUGUUCCCGCUGCAGCUCUCUUUGUUGUUCAAGUAGUGCAUGAAACAAGCAAGAGAGAUCAGUUCUUGAUGAGGCUCCGUUCCGACUUUGAAAUUGGACGUUCUAAUUUGAUGAAUCGUCAUCCUUUACCAUCUCUUGAUACUUGGUUGAGUGAACUUCUUCGUGAGGAGCAGCGUAUAGUAACUCAGGUUGCAAUGGAACAUUGGGCUAAUGUUAGUGCACCUGUUACUGUGGCUUAUGCAGCACAGGGGAGGAGUAAGGGUAGAGAUAUGCGUGUUGUCCAGUGCUUUAGUUGUAAAGCUUUUGGUCAUAUUGCUCAGGUUUGCCCAAAGAAGUUUUGUAACUACUGCAAGAAACAGGGCCAUAUCAUCUCCGCUUGUCCCAUUCGCCUUGAAAGGAAGUAGGAUACUACUUAUAAUGCCUCCACUGGUGCCUUUAGCUUUGAUGCAUUGCUUGCUGCCUCGUCAGUUGUUCGUAUUUCUGUUCCUACAGCCUUAGCAAACCCGAACACACUCAUUCUUGAAAUGGAUCAAGUGUUAGGGAAGAUGAUUGCGAAGGGGCCUAAAGUGGGACGACUCUUUCCUCUCCACGUUUCUCCUUCCACCUUUAUCCCUAGUUUUCCUUUACUUUCCUUUGUAUGUAAUGUUGUUGGUUCUGGAAAUAAGAUGUGGCAUAGACGUCUAGGCUACCCGAACUUUGAUGUACUUUGUACUUUGUUUAAUUAUGGUUUAUUGGGAAAUAAAGCAUGUUCUUCUCUUGAUCUUUUUUUUUUUAUUGUACAUCAUGCAAACUUGUCUAAAAUAAAGUUCUACAUUUUUCUCA